UACGGGGGGAGCAAGCGUUGUUCGGAUUUACUGAGCGUAAAGGGCGCGUAGGCGGCGCGACAAGUCACUUGUGAAAUCUCCGGGCUUAACUCGGAACGGUCAAGUGAAACUGUCAUGCUAGAGUGCAGAAGGGGCAAUCGGAAUUCUUGGUGUAGCGGUGAAAUGCGUAGAUAUCAAGAGGAACACCUGAGGUGAAGACGGGUUGCUGGGCUGACACUGACGCUGAGGCGCGAAAGCCAGGGGAGCAAACGGG
rnacentral:rRNA from 1 species